rnacentral:rRNA from 1 species
GACGUAGGGCGCGAGCGUUGUCCGGAUUUAUUGGGCGUAAAGAGCUCGUAGGCGGCUUGUUGCGUCGACUGUGAAAACCCGCGGCUUAACUGCGGGCUUGCAGUUGAUACGGGCAGACUAGAGUCAGGUAGGGGAGAACGGAAUUCCUGGUGUAGCGGUGAAAUGCGCAGAUAUCAGGAGGAACACCAAUGGCGAAGGCAGCUCGCUGGAACGGUACUGACGCUGAGGCGCGAAAGCGUGGGGAGCGAACAGG